GUCCACAUGGCAUCGAAAUAUUGGUUUCCGUACGAUCACCGAAGUUAAGCAAUGUUGAGCGUGGUCAGUACCUAGAUGUGUGGCGGCUUGGGAAGAUU